rnacentral:rRNA from 1 species
GCGCGGAAGAUGUAACGGGGCUAAACCAUGCACCGAAGCUGCGGCAGCGACGCUUAUGCGUUGUUGGGUAGGGGAGCGUUCUGUAAGCCUGUGAAGGUGUACUGUGAGGUAUGCUGGAGGUAUCAGAAGUGCGAAUGCUGACAUAAGUAACGAUAAAGCGGGUGAAAAGCCCGCUCGCCGGAAGACCAAGGGUUCCUGUCC